rnacentral:rRNA from 1 species
CAGCCGCCACGGGAAUACGAAGGGCGCAAGCGUUAAUCGGAAUUACUGGGCGUAAAGCGUGCGUAGGCGGUGAGUUAAGACUGCUGUGAAAUCCCCGGGCUCAACCUGGGAAUGGCAGUGGAUACUGGCUCGCUAGAGUGUGUCAGAGGAUGGUGGAAUUCCCGGUGUAGCGGUGAAAUGCGUAGAGAUCUGGAGGAAUACCGGUGGCGAAGGCGGCCCCCUGGACAAAGACUGACGCUCAGGUGCGAAAGCGUGGGGAGCAAACAGGAUUAGAUACCCGUGUAGUCCCUGUCUCUUAUAC